AACCAUAGAAACCUGCGGAGUACCUGCGGAGGGAUCAUUACUGAGUGCGGGUUCCAAUGAGCCCAACCUCCCACCCGUGUUUACCGUAACCGCGUUGCCUCGGCGGGCCCACUGGGGCCUGUCCCCGGUCGCCGGGGGGCAUCUGCCCCCGGGCCCGCGCCCGCCGAAGCGCCCUAGAACCCUGCCUGAACAGUGAGUCUGAGUGAGGGAUUGAAUCAUUAAAACUUUCAGCAACGGAUC
rnacentral:misc_RNA from 1 species